rnacentral:rRNA from 1 species
GACGAACGCUGGCGGCGUGCUUAACACAUGCAAGUCGAACGGGGUUGAUUGAAAGCUUGCUUUUGAGAGACCUAGUGGCAAACGGGUGAGUAACGCGUAGGCAACCUGCCUUUGGGAUGGGGACAACAGGACGAAAGCCCUGCUAAUACCGAAUGACGUAUACUGGUCGCAUGACCGGGAUACCAAAGGCCGGGCAACCGGUCACUGAAGGAUGGGCCUGCGUCUGAUUAGCUAGUUGGUGGGGUAAGGGCCCACCAAGGCGACGAUCAGUAGCCGGUCUGAGAGGAUGAACGGCCACAUUGGGACUGAGACACGGCCCAAACUCC